AGAGUUUGAUCCUGGCUCAGAGUGAUCGCUGGCGGCGUGCUUAACACAUGCAAGUCGAACGAGAACGGACUAUAGCUUGCUAUAGUUGUCAGCUAAGUGGCGCACGGGUGAGUAAUGUAUAGGUAAUAUGCCUUUUACUAAGGGAUAACAAUUGGAAACGAUUGCUAAUACCUUAUAUUCCUUUAAAUCAAAAGAUUAGAAGGGAAAGAUUUAUCGGUAAGAGAUUGGCCUGUAUUGUAUCAGUUAGUUGGUGGGGUAAUGGCUUACCAAGACGAUGACACAUAACUGGUUUGAGAGGAUGAUCAGUCACACUGGAACCGAGACACGGUCCAGACUCCUACGGGAGGCAGCAGUGGGGAAUAUUGCACAAUGGACGGAAGUCUGAUGCAGCAACGCCGCGUGGAGGAUGACACAUUUCGGUGCGUAAACUCCUUUUAUAUGAGAAGAUAACGACGGGAUCAUAUGAAUAAGCACCGGCUAACUCCGUGCCAGCAGCCGCGGGAAUAC
rnacentral:rRNA from 1 species